rnacentral:rRNA from 1 species
CCUACGGGAGGCAGCAGUGGGAAUUUUGGACAAUGGGCGCAAGCCUGAUCCAGCAAUGCCGCGUGAGUGAAGGAGGCCUUCGGGUUGUAAAGCUCUUUUGUCAGGGAAGAAACGGUGGAGGUUAAUACCUUCUGCUAAUGACGGUACCUGAAGAAUAAGCACCGGCUAACUACGUGCCAGCAGCCGCGGUAAUACGUAGGGUACAAGCGUUAAUCGGAAUUACUGGGCGUAAAGCGUGCGCAGGCGGUUGUGCAAGACAGAAUGUUGAAAAAAUUCCCCCCGGGGGCUUNAAACCCC